rnacentral:rRNA from 1 species
GAUGAACGCUGGCGGCGUGCCUAAUACAUGCAAGUCGAGCGAACAGACGAGGAGCUUGCUCCUCUGACGUUAGCGGCGGACGGGUGAGUAACACGUGGAUAACCUACCUAUAAGACUGGGAUAACUUCGGGAAACCGGAGCUAAUACCGGAUAAUAUAUUGAACCGCAUGGUUCAAUAGUGAAAGACGGUUUUGCUGUCACUUAUAGAUGGAUCCGCGCCGCAUUAGCUAGUUGGUAAGGUAACGGCUUACCACGGCAACGAUGCGUAGCCGACCUGAGAGGGUGAUCGGCCACACUGGAACUGAGACACGGUCAAGACUCCUACGGGAGGCAGCAGUAGGGAAUCUUCCGCAAUGGGCGAAAGCCUGACGGAGCAACGCCGCGUGAGUGAUGAAGGUCUUCGGAUCGUAAAACUCUGUUAUUAGGGAAGAACAAAUGUGUAAGUAACUAUGCACGUCUUGACGGUACCUAAUCAGAAAGCCACGGCUAACUACGUG